rnacentral:pre_miRNA from 1 species
UUAACUCAUAUUUGUAUGGAGUCGAAACGUUUGCCUACAUUUGCCGCUAGGGGCGCUGUUCCAACUGUAUACAAAAUUGUGUUA